UGUAAUUGUGUUAUUGUAAAACUAUAUCCAAUCAAGUAUAUUAUAUCAAGUUGAAAGCAAUUCAACUGCUAUGUUACUUCUCUCAUAUUAUUUUUUGUUUUUGUUUUGUUGAUUAUGCAGAUUCUAAAUGGUUGUGGAAGAGCUUCAAGUUUGUUACUGUUGGUGUGUAGUCCAAAUCAUCUAAAAAUAAAGAUAGUACCGGAUGUUACAUACUAUUAACACCACCUUAUCCUCAUGGGAGUUGCUGCUAGAGCCGGCGAAUCGAAGAAGAGGGGAUCGGUCGCCGCAUGUCGUCCUCGCUUGCCGCGACGCUGCCUGAGGCGGAGGCGCUGCUGGCCCGCGCAAACGCAUGCCAAGGCCGGCACCGAUCCUCACACUCGCCCUGCCAAUCCCGUGAUUGCAUAUAUCGACUGCUCUAUUACAGCUUACAUGUCCCCCUUCCUAUUCCGUACCGAGUUGAUCAUGUACAAGACGGACGAGCAGAUAAAGAAAGAGGUGGAUCUACCUUUCUGAUAGUGCAAAAAGGUGGACAUUAAACUCAGAAUCUUGGCACUGUAAUUAUCUUCAUCCAGUGCAGAACCUGAGCCACCAAAACAAAGGUCCAUAGCUGCCACAUCGAGACGGUUCUUUGAAAGUUCUGCAUCUCAACAUAGACUAAGUUGCCUGCUGUUUCUAUGUAUUGUCUUUUCGAGUGUAGUUCUUUCUGAUAUGGGCCUCCUACGUAUAAAUAUUUUAGAAACAUUUUUUAUU